UCACACCAAGCCCUCUGUGCUUCAAAAUAUGUCAAUGUUACCUGUCCCUGCUCUCCGUUUCAGAACCUGGAACAUGUUUGUCAAAACUGUGGCUUUCUGUGUGUGGUCUAUGAAAGGAUUGCAUUGAUUUGAAGAUGAAAAAGUAAUUUUAGGUGUAUUAGAUUAUAAUGUAUUUGGAUGCAGAUUCCAAGAGGGAAAUAUUUAUUAGUGUUUUGUUCCAUAAUCUACUCUCAAUACCUAGAAAUUCUCUAGAAUAUGGUAGGCACACAUUUUAAUUAGUUAAAUGAAUGUCUUAGUAUUUCUAUAUCUACCCUAUGUAUAGGCUAGAAUAGUGGUAGAAUUUAAGACAUGACUCACAGAAGUAUUAAUAAAUAAACCCAUAGAGGAACAUUUAUUUGAUAAAAAUUAUCCUAGAGUUUAAACAUUUUGAUAUUUUAGUGAUAAUUAUUCUUUUUAUUAUAUCAGACUUUAUUGUGAAGCUCAUGUGACCUUUCCAUCCCCCUGUUUCAUGUGUGUGUAAAUCCACACACCAUAUCGAAUGCAUUUAUUGAAUGUAUUUACAUAAUUUUAUUAUUUAAUCCUCAUAUGUGUGUAUGUCUAUUGUGUGUAUAAACAUUGAGAUGAAUUAUACACAAACAAUUUUAUUUUGCAAAUGAAUUAAUUUGCUAACACCAGCUAAUGCCAGAGCUGAAUUUAAAAAGCCUUCAGUGCACAGCACCCAGACAUCUCCAAACUUCUUUGCGGUUUCUACUCUACUGACUUGUUUUAGUAGUUAUCUUUCCGCAGAUUUAACUCCCUUCCACACUUGAUGAAAGUGGUUAAUCAUCGAUAAUUGCCCUGAGUAUUGUUGAUUUGGGUUAAUGUAACAUUUGUUUGUUUUGAAUGACUAAGCCAGAAGGAGGCCUCGCGUGCAUCAGCCUGCACCACAUUGGGGACAUGGGACACAGCAGAUGCCAACACCAUGUCUUCUGGGAAGAGAGGUUGGAUGAAAGUUAUAACCCACUACCUGUAAGUGAAAUAAAGGAAAACUGAUAGGAGAUUUUUUUGACAUCGUGUAAAAGAAGAAGAGAGCGGACUCUGAAGAUCAAUCUUUUAAAGGGUUGCUGACACUACCUUGAAUAAAAUGCAUUUUUAGAGCCACUUAAUCUUCUAAAGUAAGUUUGUGAAGUGAGGUCUUUAACAUUUUAGCCUGAAUGCAUCACAUUUUCUGAACCACACCAUCCAUUCUGAGAAUUACCAAAGCCUGAGAUACAAUAGGGACAGGCUCAUGAUAAAAACACUUCACAGCAAAACACAAAAGAGAGUGGCACCAUAGCAUGUUUACUUCCCUGAAUUUUCGUUAGUUGAAAAUUCUGGUUAAGGCCAUUGAGCUUUAAAUAGUAUCUUAUGUUAUUUAAUUUUUAAUUUUACAUAUUAUCUUAUGUUAUUCAAUUUAAUUUUAAUGACCCCAUCCUUAGUGGUCAUUAUUUCUACACAAACAUAUCCUUAAAAAGGUCACUUUUAAAAGUUCAAAUAAAAAUCUUACAGUAUGCCUACUUUUUACAAAGUAUAGUAGGUUAGACUGUUGCUACAGAAUAACUUGUGAGUAACCAAUGUGAAAAAAAAAUUGAAUAAGGAUUAAUUUUGAGUUUUAGAAUAUCAUAUCAUAAAUAUUAUACUUAUUAUACCUGGGAACUUCACA
rnacentral:lncRNA from 1 species